GACGAACGCUGGCGGCGUGCUUAACACAUGCAAGUCGAACGGAAAGGCCCUGCUUUUGUGAGGUGCUCGAGUGGCGAACGGGUGAGUAACACGCGAGUAACCUGCCCUUGACUUUGGGAUAACUUCAGGAAACUGGGGCUAAUACCGGAUAGGAGCUCCUGCUGCAUGGUGGGGGUUGGAAAGUUUCGGCGGUUGGGGAUGGACUCGCGGCUUAUCAGCUUGUUGGUGGGGUAGUGGCUUACCAAGGCUUUGACGGGUAGCCGGCCUGAGAGGGUGACCGGCCACAUUGGGACUGAGAUACGGCCCAGACUCCUACGGGAGGCAGCAGUGGGGAAUAUUGCACAAUGGGCGGAAGCCUGAUGCAGCAACGCCGCGUGCGGGAUGACGGCCUUCGGGUUGUAAACCGCUUUCGCCUGUGACGAAGCGUGAGUGACGGUAAUGGGUAAAGAAGCACCGGCUAACUACGUG
rnacentral:rRNA from 1 species